rnacentral:lncRNA from 1 species
CCCAGUUGCGGGGGAGACUGAGAGAGGAGCAUUGUGAGUUCAAAACCAGAUUCAGCAACUCAGUGAGAUCCUAUCUUGAGUACCCCUGAGUUCGAUCCUUGGUAGCAAAAAAAAGAAGAAAAAAUCAAUUCCAGGUGAUUUAAAAACUGAAUAUGAAAACAAAAGUUCACAACUUUUUCAUAAAAAUGAGCUAUAUUACCUCAGGAUAGGGAAGGAUUUUUAAAUAAGACACAUACACACACAAAAAAAAACCCCCCCCACAAAUCUUAAAGGUUAUAAAUAAGUGAAAAAAUGUCAAAAGCUAGUACAAGAAAGGGAAAAGGAUGCUGGUUGUGGUGGUGCACAUCUAUAAUCCCAGCUACUCAGGAGGCUGAGGCAAAGAAAUGCAUGAUUGAGGCCAGCAUGGGCAACUUGGCGGCAAGACCCUGUCUUAAAAUGAAAAGGGCUCAGCUCAGAGGUAAAGCCCUUUCCUCACAUAGGGAUGUUCUAGUUUCAAUACCCAGCAACCCAUACCCACCCCACCAAAAGCCAUAGGCUAGAAGACUAGAUGAUACAUAAGCCUGACAAAAGAUUACUAUAGUAAAUCAGUAAAAUUAUAACUCAACAGAAAAUUGAACCAAAGCUAUGAAUAUAAUUCUGUUAAUAAACUAGAAAAUGCAUAUUAAAUGCACAUUAAAACAAUGAGAUACCUUUUUAUACUCAUGUCAUAUUCUGGCAAACAAAGGUCUGGCUAUACUCUGGUAAACUUUAGAUAACCAUUUUUUUUAGAAAGUAAUUACCCUAUGACCCAGCAAAUCCCACUAUUAUACGUGUAUAUACUAGAAAACCUCUCACAUGAGGCCUUUAAGAAAAAACUGGUAAUCAGAUAUCUGAUACCUAAUAAAUCAUGCACCAAAUGGGUAUAGCAGUGAAAGUGAGUAAAAU